ACUGGAAGACGACGAAGAAGAAGCGUGGGAAUCCGGCAGCAAUGGCUGGGAUGACUGAACUUACGGGAAGGAGUGCUUCCAAGAUGGGAGACGAAGAAGAAGAAGCCGCUGAAUCCGGCGGCAAUGGCUGGGAUGUACAUGCUGCGUUCUCGAGAAGAAGCGUUAUUUCUGCAUUCCAAGAAGGACGGCACAAUGUGUCGGACUGUCCGCGUCGCAUUGAACUGGUUCGAUGAGGCUGCUAUUGCACACACAGUGAGGGAACUCCCAUACGGGAACUCGGAAGUACUGCUACAGUACAGGUAUAUCAUCCCGUGACGACCACAUUGAAGUCUGAAUUUGAAGUGUCAGCAACCCCUUCAACCCCUUCAUUUUUUCCAUUGCUUUUAUUGUGCUGCUACUGUGCAUGUGAUGACAACG